GAAGUGUGCCCGAGAAAAGGGACUAUUUUGAUGGAGUAGGCACAGAGAUAAACUCUCACUUCCA
rnacentral:tRNA from 1 species